CAGUCGCCGCGGUAAUACAGAGGAUGCGAGCGUUACCCGGAAUUAUUGGGCGUAAAGGGCUCGCAGGCGGUUUCUUAAGUCUGAUGUGAAAGCCCCCGGCUCAACCGGGGAGGGUCAUUGGAAACUGGGAAACUUGAGUGCAGAAGAGGAGAGUGGAAUUCCACGUGUAGCGGUGAAAUGCGUAGAGAUGUGGAGGAACACCAGUGGCGAAGGCGACUCUCUGGUCUGUAACUGACGCUGAGGAGCGAAAGCGUGGGGAGCGAACAGGAUUAGAUACCCGUGUAGUCCCUGUCUCUUAUAA
rnacentral:rRNA from 1 species